rnacentral:rRNA from 1 species
UAUGAUCCAGAGUACCACGGGACACGUGAAACCCUGUGGGAAGCAGGAGGGACCACCCUCCAAGGCUAAAUACUACCUAGUGACCGAUAGCGUAUAGUACCGUGAGGGAAAGGUGAAAAGAACCCCGGGAGGGGAGUGAAAUAGAACCUGAAACCCUGCACUUACAAGCUGUGGAAGCACAUUUCUUGUGUGACCGCGUACUUUUUGUAGAACGGGCCAACGAGUUACGUUAAGUAGCAAGGUUAAGCACUUAAGGUGGGAGCCGUAGCGAAAGCGAGUUUUAACUGAGCGUUCAGUUACUUGACGUAGACCCGAAACCGGGCGACCUACCCAUGAGCAGGAUGAAGCGAAAGUAAAAUUUCGUGGAGGUCCGAACCCACGAGCGUUGAAAAGCUCGGGGAUGACUUGUGGGUAGCGGUGAAAUUCCAAUCGAGCCCGGAGAUAGCUGGUUCUCCCCGAAAUAGCUUUAGGGCUAGCCUCAAGGUGAGAGAUACGGAGGUAGAGCACUGAAUGUCCUAGGGGGUAUUGCACCUACCGAAGACUAUCAAACUCCGAAUGCCGUCAUCUUAUACUUGGGAGUCAGACUGUGGGUGAUAAGAUUCAUAGUCGAAAGGGCAACAGCCCAGAUCGUCAGCUAAGGUCCCUAAAUGUAAGUUAAGUGGUAAAGGAUGUGGGAUUGCACAGACAACCAGGAUGUUGGCUUAGAAGCAGCCACUCAUUCAAAGAGUGCGUAAUAGCUCACUGGUCGAGUGAUCCUGCGCCGAAGAUUUCCGGGGCUAAAACUUACUACCGAAGCUACGGCAUCAGUAAUGAUGGGUAGGGGAGCUUCCCAUACGGGUUGAAGCAUGACCGUAAGGACAUGUGGACAGUAUGGGAGUGAGAAUGUUGGCAUGAGUAGCGAGAUGUGGGUGAGAAUCCCACAGGCCGUAAACCCAAGGUUUCCAGGGGAAGGUUCGUCCGCCCUGGGUUAGUCGGGACCUAAGCUGAGGCCGAAAGGCGUAGGUGAUGGACAACAGGUUGAUAUUCCUGUACUACCGAUAACCGUUUGAGAGAAGGGAUGACACAGUAGGAUAAGCUAAGCACACUGUUGGUUAUGUGUGCCCAAGCAUUGAGGCAGUCAAAGUAGGCAAAUCCGCUUUGAUAAUGCUGGGAUGUGAUGGGGAGCGAAAUUUAGUAGCGAAGUAGCUGAUUUCACACUGUCAAGAAAAGUCUCUAUCGAGGUUAAAGGUACCCGUACCGCAAACCGACACAGGUGGGUGAGGAGAGUAUCCUAAGGCCAGCGAGAGAACUGUUGUUAAGGAACUCGGCAAAAUGACCCCGUAACUUAGGGAUAAGGGGUGCCACCAUCAGGUGGCCGCAGAGAAUAGGCCCAAGCGACUGUUUACCAAAAACAUAGGUUUCUGCUAAGUCGCAAGACGAUGUAUAGGAGCUGACGCCUGCCCGGUGCUGGAAGGUUAAGGGGAUCUGUUAGAGCAAUCGAAGCAGUGAACUUAAGCCCCAGUAAACGGCGGCCGUAACUAUAACGGUCCUAAGGUAGCGAAAUUCCUUGUCGGGUAAGUUCCGACCCGCACGAAAGGCGUAACGAUUUGGGCACUGUCUCAACAACAGACUCGGUGAAAUUGUAAUUCCGGUGAAGAUGCCGGAUACCUGCGACAGGACGGAAAGACCCCAUGGAGCUUUACUGUAGCUUGACAUUGGGUCUUGGUACUACAUGUACAGGAUAGGUGGGAGGCUUUGAAACCAGGACGCCAGUUUUGGCGGAGCCAUCCUUGGGAUACCACCCUUGUAGUACUGGGACUCUAACCAUAGGCCAUGAAUCUGGUCUUGGGACACUGUCAGGUGGGCAGUUUGACUGGGGCGGUCGCCUCCCAAAAGGUAACGGAGGCGCUCAAAGGUUCUCUCAGUACGGUCGGAAAUCGUACGUAGAGUGUAAAGGCAAAAGAGAGCUUGAUUGCAAGACAUACAGGUCGAGCAAGGAUGAAAAUCGGACUUAGUGAUCCGGUGGUUCUGCGUGGAAGGGCCAUCGCUCAACGGAUAAAAGCUACCCUGGGGAUAACAGGCUUAUCUCCCCCAAGAGUCCACAUCGACGGGGAGGUUUGGCACCUCGAUGUCGGCUCAUCACAUCCUGGGGCUGUAGUAGGUCCCAAGGGUUGGGCUGUUCGCCCAUUAAAGUGGUACGCGAGCUGGGUUCAGAACGUCGUGAGACAGUUCGGUCCCUAUCCGUCGCAGGCGUAGGAAAUUUGAGAAGACCUGUCCUUAGUACGAGAGGACCGGGAUGGACGUACCUCUGGUGUACCAGUUGUCCUGCCAAGGGCAUGGCUGGGUAGCUAUGUACGGAAUGGAUAAGCGCUGAAAGCAUCUAAGCGCGAAGCCAACUUCAAGAUAAGAUUUCCCACCGCAAGGGUAAGACCCCAGAAAGACUAUCUGGUUGAUAGGUCGAAGGUGUAAGUGCAGCAAUGUAUUUAGCUUAUCGAUACUAAUAGGUCGAGGACUUGACCAA